rnacentral:lncRNA from 1 species
UCGCAUUUUGACAUCAAAAGACCUUAGUCAUGUGGAAUCGAUGAAAAUAAUUCAAACCGAACAUAUAUUUGGUGUAUAAGUCAUCUCACUUUAUACUCAAAGUCUAAUUUUUCAUCCAUCCGGUUUAAGAGUUCUAACUCACAUUUACUUACUAUACCUACACUUUUUCACUCAUGUAGCUCUCUGUUUCUUCAAUCAAAAUAAUGCAGAGAUAUGAGAAUUUUCCAGCUGAAAAAUCCACUAACUUCAGCUCGCAUUUUCAUGCCUUCAACAAGCACAAAGCAAUGACUUGUAUAACCCUCUAAAAAUCAAAAACUAUAUUUCUUAAUAGCUUUUACAUUACAUAUAACUAAGUUAAAAAAUACAAACAAAGAAACAUUAAAAAAUCAAAACACACAAACAUUUCAUUAAAAAAAUUCAAGGAGAGUUCACAUUGACACAAAUCAUAUAUGUAUAUAUAUGAUAAAUGUAAUCACUUAUCAUUUUCUGUGUAACAAAUUACAUAAACCAUCAUAAAAAAAACUACAAACCUCUACCCAUAACACCAUACACAAUUAUUCUUAUAUAUAAUAAUUAAAUUAAAUCUAUAAAACAAGCAAUUAAACAAACACUCUCCACUACUCCUAAAUAGAAAGGACCAAUAUGAAACAAAACAAGAAAAAGGUUGAAACUUUUCAGGCACAAGCUUCUUUUCUGGCUACAUAAACAAACAAGGAAUCAAGAUCAGGUGGUUGGAAGUACCCUUCCUUUGGUGGAGGUCGUCUCAUUCCGACAACCGGCUUCUUCCUCGGCGGCGGUGGUGGACAAAUGAAAACCGCUGGAAUUUGAUUCUGCAACAAUCUUGGUGUUCUACACUCAUCUUCCAUGGCACCAAACUCAACAAAUUCACAAUUCAACUAUAUUUUCAGUAACCCUUUUGCCCCUUCUCUCCAAAAUCACAAUAAAAAUGUGAACUUUACACUUUCAACUUUUCAAGGUUUAGACAUUGAAUUGAAAGUGUUUUUUCAUGAGAAGGGUAUAUAUAAUAAGAAAAAAAUAAAUAACUAAUGU